CCAGACUCCUACGGGAGGCAGCAGUGGGGGAUAUUGCACAAUGGGGGGAACCCUGAUGCAGCGACGCCGCGUGAGGGAAGACGGUUUUCGGAUUGUAAACCUCUGUCUUUAGGGACGAAACAAAUGACGGUACCUAAAGAGGAAGCCCCGGCUAACUACGUGCCAGCAGCCGCGGUAAUACGUAGGGGGCAAGCGUUAUCCGGAAUUACUGGGUGUAAAGGGUGAGUAGGCGGCAUGGUAAGCCAGAUGUGAAAGCCUUGGGCUUAACCCGAGGAUUGCAUUUGGAACUAUCAAGCUAGAGUACAGGAGAGGAAAGCGGAAUUCCUAGUGUAGCGGUGAAAUGCGUAGAUAUUAGGAAGAACACCAGUGGCGAAGGCGGCUUUCUGGACUGAAACUGACGCUGAGGCACGAAAGCGUGGGGAGCGAACAGGAUUAGAUACCCGCGUAGA
rnacentral:rRNA from 1 species